UACGAAGGUCCCAAGCGUUGUUCGGAAUCACUGGGCGUAAAGGGAGCGUAGGCGGCGCGGUAAGUCGGGUGUGAAAUCUCGGAGCUUAACUCCGAAACUGCAUUCGAUACUGCCGUGCUUGAGGACUGGAGAGGAGACUGGAAUUUACGGUGUAGCGGUGAAAUGCGUAGAUAUCGUAAGGAAGACCAGUGGCGAAGGCGGGUCUCUGGACAGCUCCUGACGCUGAGGCACGAAGGCCAGGGGAGCAAACGGG
rnacentral:rRNA from 1 species